rnacentral:lncRNA from 1 species
GGCAACUCUAAUAUAAAGAAUUACAAGUGCUAUGAUAGGGGAACAACAGGAGACAAGGAAGGGGCUCUUGCCUCUCGCAGUGGUGGCCUGCUGGGGAAAGUAAGCAUUCCAGUCUCCUGCAGGGCCUGGGGAAUUGAACCUGUACUCAGGGCACUAAGUGACCACUGAGGCUGGAUCAGCACUACACUGAAAGCUAAAGUUUUAUAUUAAAGUUUGCAUUCAAAUGAUGGGAUACCCUCUGACCUUUUCAGCUAGAAGACUAGAAGCCAGACUCAUACCACCCAAGAAGUAGCCUGGAGAUUCUUCUCUGGAGAACCUGAUAUUUGGAAGCCCCUCCAAUACAACAAUUGGGACUCCAUCUAGUUUCCACAUUAUGAAGCCCAUCUGUCCCUACUCAGAUUCCAACCAUAGUCAGUGCUUCACUCUUAAACAUGAACAUUUAGGAGGGACAUAAACUGGAAGAAAAAACAAAAGACAAAGCAGCAAAUAAAUGGGGACAGGGAAGCAUUUGGAAGAAUCAGAAGCAAUGCAAGAAAAAGCAAAGAAGACUCAGUGGGGAAAACACCUAUAAUUAACAUCAUCAGAAAGAAAGAACAGUACAUCCAUGAAAUAAUGUACUUUUAAAUUUUUUUAAAAGAAGAAAUUAAAAAUAGCAAAAAGUUGUGUGUGUUUGUACCAGGGAUUGAACCCAAAGAUGCAUAACCACUGAGCCACAUCCUAGCCCUCUUUUAUUUUUUAUUUUGAGACAGGGUUUUGCUAAGUUACUGAGGCUGGCUUCGAACCUGUAAUCCUCUUCCUGAGCCACUGGGAUUAUAGGCGUGUACCACCAUGCCCAGCAUGAAAAGUUUUUUCAAAAAGUUAAUGGAAGAGCUGAAAGAGAAUGAUUGAGGAACUCUCAAAGACAUAACAAAGGAGAAAUAAAAGUGAAUGGAGUUUUAAAAAAAGAAUUAAGUAAUGAGAUCCAACUCUGACUAUAAGAAAGACAAAAGACAGAAAAAGAGGAGAAAAAUAAUUUAAGAAAUAUCAGAACAAAUUUUAGAACCGAAGAAUUUUCUUAUGAAGACUAAAUGAGCCCCUAAAUGCUCAACGAUAUGAAUGAAGAAACAAAAGACUACACCAGGCUCAUUACCACGAUAUUUUACAACAUCUGAGAUUUAAAGAUCCUGAGUUGGGGGCAGGUGACAAAGAAUCAGGAAUAAAAUUGACAUUUAGGUUUUUUCAAAGCAAUGUUGAAAACUAGAAGAUAUUUCCUUCAAAAUUCUCCAAGAAAAUUAUUUCUAAUUUAGAAUUCCACAUCCUACCAAUCAAUUAUGAGGGUAAACCAAGGCAUUUUCAGACAAGCAAGAACUGAAAAUGCAAGGUUUUACUUCCCUCAUCUUCUGUCUCAAGAAGCUUCUAAAGCCGUAAAGUUGAGAAUAAAUCAGGGAAAGAUCAAGGAACAACACAGAAAACAGAAUACCCACCACAGAAGACAGGCAAAGAGAAUUUUAGAUGGUGAUAAAGCUUGAGAUGACAACUAGGCAGUGGGCCAAGAACAACCAGUUCAGACUAGAAUAGAGGAAGAAGGAGUAGCCAAGAAGAAAAUCUCUAAGGGUUUUUUUUAAAAAAAGGAAUGGAUAGAUCACCUGAUGUGGAUGAGAAUGGGAAGCCUUUAGCAGUUUCAUCAAAGUGUAAAAAUACAUUCUUAAAGAAACAAGAAAAUUUUUAAAUGAGGCAAUGAUUAGCCCCAGGAAAAAUAAGAGGUUGUUUAGUUGUAGCAUACCAAGUGGUUCAUUUGCGGACAAGAUUUACAUAGUCAUAACAUGGGAUAUUAGGAGUAAGGGGAGGCAAAUUCACAUGGGAAGUGGGGUAGGAGACAUGGAAGAAAAGGCAGCAAUUAAAAAAAAUAACUAUAAGCCUUAUGGAACUAUGUGGGUUUUAAAAUAUAAAUAUAUAUAUUUAAGAUUAAAUUUUUAAAAACAUUUUUUAAUUUUUUUAAUUUUUUAUUUUUUUGGCACUGGGGAUUGAACCCAGGGUAUUUAACCACUAAGUUAUAUUCCCAGAACUUUCCCUUUUUAUUUUAAGAAAGACUCUCUUGUUAAGUUGCUGAGAGUUAAAUUGCUGAGAUUAGCUUUGAACUUGUGAUCCUCCUGCCUCAGACUCCUGAAUUGCUGGGAUUACAGGCAUGUACCAUAGCACCCGGCUUAGAUCCUAACAUUCUAAAGCUAUAUACCCUGAUAUUUUUGCAAAUCUCCAAAUUCACAAAUACUAUUAUGGCAUUUCACAAAAAUUGCUAGAGGUAGAGGCCAACAUGGAUCCACGACUUACCAGGCUCAACCACUUGUUCAGGCUAAAGUUGUUCAGGAUCCUGGGAAAUAAAUGAAAUGGAAAACUCUAAAUUCACCAAAACCAAGGGUCUACUAUGGCAACUGAGAAUAAUAUGCCAUUUUGCUAGCAUUAUACCUGGAAAUAAAUAUUGGAAUGAUGUAUCCAAGCAGUAGCCACAUGUUGGCCAUAUUCUUUUACUUUUUUUUUUUUAACUUUUGAUGACUUUUCUUUUUUUUUUAAUAUUUUUUUAAUAUUUAUUUCUUAGUUUUCGGCAGACACAACAUCUUUGUUUGUAUGUGGUGCUGAGGAUCAAACCCGGGCCGCACGCAUGCCAGGCGAGCGCGCUACCGCUUGAGCCACAUCCCCAGCCCAUUUGAUGACUUUUCAACAACAAAAUAUAUCACCUGAACACACUUUCCCAAUGAAGAUGUCUGCUGUUUACUAUCAGAUGUGGGAGAGCUAGACAGACAAGGAGGCAGCCACUGCCACGUACCUACUUGCUUUGCCAAGAUUUCCUGCUGACAGCAAAGAGCCAACAGUGGUGGGCAGCAGCAGAUACCAUACUGGACCCCUGCCCAACUCACUCAGGGACCAAGAGCUCAAGAUUUUGAGGAGAUUAAACAAAAAUGUAAUUACAGCUCACAGGUCUGGUAGCCUCUACCUUCCAAAGUAAACUCAUAUACUAGUAAGUGCCAAAUUCAAAAAGUGACCACUUUGUAGCAAUAACAAGGGAGAAACAUUCUGGUUUGAAACAAAAGGGAGUUGUUGCAGAAGCUGUACAAGCCCCAGAGUUGCACUAAGAAACUAGAGACCAUGUAAAACUGGGCCCUAUCAGAAAAGCAGCAGACAUUCAGCUUAUUGUUUCUCUCCUAGAGAGAACAGAGUUGGCAAUGUUGCAGCAGCAGUGUGGGUGACAGUAUUGGAGGUAAGUGGUGGAAGUAAUAAUAAAAGACAGUUCAGUUACUCAAGUCCUCUACAUUCCUGCAGUUAUUAAGCUAAGUACUUUUUAUGUACAAUCUUCAAAACAACCCUGCCAGGUAAGAUUUGCUACUUCCAAACUAAACAGCAUUUCAACCCAAAAUUUUAAUUUUAAAGAAUGUAAUAUUCUUUUCAAUGUUUUUCUUUUGCAACAAACAGAAGUUAUGAGAAAAAAAUAGCUUACUUUUAAUAUGUCAAUUAAAUCUUGAAUAUAAGAAGAAACCACCUCCCUUUUCCCCAAAAGGUCAUUCACUAAAAUAUUCAGUCCCUACUUUCUAUAGAACAAGCAUAAAUAGCAAAAAGAAAUUAUGGUCACAGAAGCAGCACUUUGAGGGAAUUGUCCAAAGGCCCAGAGACUUUUGAGAAGAGGCUACUGAGGUAGCUAAAAUGACCCCAACAAAGACAGAAGUUUAAGUAAUAUAAGAAGAUGGGUAAACAGUGCAUAUAAUCUUUUAACUUUCCAUAAGCCCUACACUCAAACCUCCAUAUAAUUCUUGAGAUCAACAAAUGUUCCUCCAGGCUCUUCUCAAAAUACUUUAGGGCUGCUGGGGACUCCUGUUAUGCCUUGUUAGCAGGUCAUCUUUAGGGCAAUAAAGAAGAUUCAAGAUUCCUGCUCUCCAGGGGCUCUGGAAGUUCUGAAUGGUAACAAGAGAUGAUCAAAACUUGAAAAGACACCUGUCUUUUACUUACAUCCGUGUACAAUUAUCUUUUGGAGAUACUCCAAACUAAGUUUUCUUCAAUAGCCACCUACUUUCAUCCCAAUAUAAUCAUUAAAUUUAUGAUCGUUUGGAUUGGCAAGAAAAUCAAAUCCACCAAGAUCAAAGUUAAUCAGAGCCAAAAAAAAUUGCACCAAUUAUUCAACUGUCCCUCUCCAAUAUCAAGUGUGUCAGAAAGCAUCUCAGUAUAAAUCAGAAUUCUCAAUUAAGUUACAAUGAACUUAAGCUAAUUUAAACAGAAAGAGAUUUGUGAUUAGAUAUUAGGACAAUCACAAAAUCUCUAAAAGGACAUGAAAACUAUACUUGGAUGCCCCAAAGCCAGAAAGGAAUACCCAAAGACAUCUAGGAACCAUUCUAGAGAAAGCACUACUGCCACUGUCCAUUCUAUCACAUGUUGCUUUGCAAGUCCCUUGCUCUAGCUUACUACUCAGAAGAGUACCUGCCAUUGUUGCCUUCUAGACCAGAAAUGUCCAAUAGAACUUUUAUGAUGAUAGAAAUGUUCUGUUGUUAUGCUGUAUACUAGUUACAUAGCUACUGAGCUCUUGAAUGUAGCUAGUGAGACAAAGGAGCUGAACUUUUUAUUUCCAUUAAUUUUAAUUAAUUUAAAUGGUUACAGUUUUGAACAGAGUAGUCUAAAUGCUCAAUACUGUCCAUGGCUCACAUCUGCAUCCCAACUCCACUCAGAUAUAUAUGCAGAACCAAGGGAAUCUAGUUCUUAUAGUGUACUGUAGUAACUAUGAUUCUACCUUAGGAAACAGGGACUCACAAUUUGCAGGCUAACCAAAUGUAACCCCGAAUGAAAGAUUUUCAAAAGAUUCUGGGCAGCUGCAAAUGAUACACACACACUAUGAUAGCCCUCUGAAAACUAGAGCUCCUCCAAGUAUAUGUAAUGUGCAGGUGACUUUGGAAAUGCCUAGUUUUACUGGGUAAGAGGUGAUUGUUCCAGAAGUGAAGGAAUCAAAACAAGAAAAGGACAGAAGAGUUGAUUUUUAUACUGUGUAGAUGUGCAGGCAAUGUAAAAAUUUUCAACUAGUCUUUUAUUAAGCCCUGACUAUGACUCUGCCUGGGGUGUGCUAAGAAAUAGAGUGAAUUUUAAACAGAAUAGGGACAAAACUCUAGGGAAUGGAGAAGUGAUUUUUAAAAAUUGUUUGCCUAUUUUUAGUAAUGAACAAUUACAUUGGUUUCCUAAUUAGUGCUCAAUAAAGUGACAGCAUAACAAUAAUUUUUUAAAAAUUUAUAUGUCAACAUUUCACAAAAAAAUAAUUAUUUUCAAAAAAUGAAUUGAGGGCUGGGGUUGUGGCUCAGUAGUAGAGCACUUGCCUAGCAUGUGUGAGGCACUGGGUUUGAUUCUCAGCAUCACAUAUAAAUAAAUAAAAUAAAGGUCCAUUGACAACUGAAAAGUGUAUAUAUAUAUUAUAUAUAUAUAUAUAUAUAUAUAUAUAUAUAUAUAUUUUUUUUUUUUUUUUUGGAUACAAUACAGGAUAUAUUGGUGUGUGUGUGACUGAGAAGGAGACAGCAUACUAGAAGCCCUCAUGAAUGCAGGGACCGCCACUUGUCCAGGGGACCACGAUUGGGGAUAUAUUUGACCCCACAGCCAUCAGGAAUGAGCUGCUUCUCAGUCACCAUGUCUUCAAAUUCAUCAGCAUUAAAUUUGGUAAAGCCCUACUUCUUUGAGAUGUGGAUCUUCUGGCAGCCAGGGAACUUGAACUUGGCCCUGCGUAGGGCCUCAAUCACAUGUUCCUUGUUCUAUAGCUUGGUGCGGAUGGACAUGAUGACUUGGCCAAUGUGAACCUUGGCCACUGUUCCCUGGGGUUUCCCAAAGGCACCCCACAUACCUGUUUGGAGCCUAGAUGAGGGACACCAUGAGAUCAGAAAUAUGAACAUCUACUCAAAGUGCUGUCUCCAAGGUCCCUUAGGGCAACCCAUAUGAGAAACACGCUGCAUACACUACCGAGGAGAUUGCUAUUUACAGCCAUUGCACACUGGGCCACCACAAGUAAAGGAACCCAGUUGGCUUAAUUAGCUGCAGAUGAAAAAUAUUUUUAAAAAAAUGAAUGACAUGGUUUUGCAUUUUGCAUCAACAGAAGACAACUGGAUUCUCAUAUUUGCUUCUGCAGUCAGAUCACACAAUACAUGCCUCUGGAAAAUAUCUCUGGAAAACUCCUUUGUACAUUGUUUUAAAAAGUAAGUUAAAUUAUUACUAUGAAAAGUUCCGACCUUACAGAUUCCUUGAAAAAGUCUGGGUGGGGGUAAGACAAGGGUCCCUGGUCCAUACUUAGAGAACAGCUGAUCAGUAAAAUCUCUAACUAUAUUGGAAAGAUGGGGGAAUGAAGGAUGUACAUUAAAAUGCAUACAGAAAAACUGUCAGAAUUAAAAGGAGAGGGCUGGGGAUGUAGCUCAGUUAGUAGGGUGCUUGCCUUGCAUGCCCAAGGCCCUGGGUUCAAUCCCCAGCAACCCCCCCCCCACCACCACACACACAGAGAACUUAAAAGGAGAAAUCAAAUUUGUCAAGAACAAAAGUCUCAUCUGUAACCAAGGAUCACUCAAUAAAUACAGCCUAAAUUAAAAAAUUAAGAAUUAGCUCCAUGCAUAUUAUUUAACAUGCAUAUGUAAUACCC